UACGUAGGGUGCACGCGUGUCCGGAAUUAUUGGGCGUAAAGAGCUCGUAGGCGGUUCGUCGCGUCGGCUGUGAAAACCCGAGGCUCAACCUCGGGCCUGCAGUCGAUACGGGCGGACUGGAGUUCGGCAGGGGAGACUGGAAUUCCUGGUGUAGCGGUGAAAUGCGCAGAUAUCAGGAGGAACACCGAUGGCGAAGGCAGGUCUCUGGGCCACUACUGACGCUGAGAAGCGAAAGCAUGGGGAGCGAACAGG
rnacentral:rRNA from 1 species